UUAUAUUUCUAUUUAUAUAGUUUAAGAAAAACCUUACAUUUUCAUUGUAAAAUUGAACUUAUGUUUU
rnacentral:tRNA from 2 species